rfam:Schistosoma haematobium scaffold78_9, whole genome shotgun sequence.
GGGCCUGUGGCGCAAUGGAUAAUACGCCUGACUACCGAUCAGGAGACUACAGGGUCGAAUCCUGGCAAGUUCG